UACGUACCGUCCAAACGUUAUUCGGAAUCACUGGGCUUAAAGAGUUCGUAGGCGGCUCAGAAAGUUGGGCGUGAAAUCCCUCGGCUCAACCGAGGAAUUGCGCUCAAAACUACUGAGCUAGAGGGAGAUAGAGGUGAGCGGAACUGAUGGUGGAGCGGUGAAAUGCGUUGAUAUCAUCAGGAACACCGGAGGCGAAGGCGGCUCACUGGGUCUUUCCUGACGCUGAGGAACGAAAGCUAGGGGAGCGAACGGG
rnacentral:rRNA from 1 species